AGUGCAUAUGGUGGAUGCCUUGGCGAUUACAGGCGAUGAAGGACGUGGUAGCCUGCGUAAAGUUUCGGGGAGCUGGCAAACAAGCUUUGAUCCGGAAAUAUCCGAAUGGGGAAACCCACCCGCAAGGGUAACCGUCUCUGAAUAUAUAGGAGAAUGGUGGCGAACCGAGUGAACUGAAACAUCUAAGUAGCUCGAGGAAAAGAAAUCAACCGAGAUUCCGUAAGUAGUGGCGAGCGAACAUGGAAUAGCCUGUUAUUUUUAGCACAUGCGAUAGUAGAACGGAAUGGAAAGUCCGGCCAUAGAGGGUGAUAGCCCCUUAUACGAAAUCCCGUGUGUGGAACUAGGAUAACGACAAGUAGGGCGGGGCACGAGAAACCUUGUCUGAACAUGGGGGGACCAUCCUCCAAGGCUAAAUACUCGUAAUCGACCGAUAGUGAACUAGUACCGUGAGGGAAAGGCGAAAAGAACCCCGGGAGGGGAGUGAAAUAGAUCCUGAAACCGUAUGCAUACAAACAGUGGGAGCGGACUUGUUCCGUGACUGCGUACCUUUUGUAUAAUGGGUCAGCGACUUACAUUCAGUAGCAAGCUUAACCGAUAGGGGAGGCGUAGCGAAAGCGAGUCCGAAUAGGGCGUCUAGUUGCUGGGUGUAGACCCGAAACCAAGUGAUCUAUCCAUGGCCAGGAUGAAGGUGCCGUAACAGGUACUGGAGGUCCGAACCCACUAAUGUUGAAAAAUUAGGGGAUGAGCUGUGGAUAGGGGUGAAAGGCUAAACAAACUUGGAAAUAGCUGGUUCUCUCCGAAAACUAUUUAGGUAGUGCCUCGUAUAUCAUUCUCGGGGGUAGAGCACUGUUAUGGCUAGGGGGUUCAUAAGAACUUACCAAACCAUUGCAAACUCCGAAUACUGAGAAAUGCAAUUACGGGAGACAGACCAUGGGUGCUAACGUCCGUGGUCAAGAGGGAAACAACCCAGACCGACAGCUAAGGUCCCAAAUGACGUGCUAAGUGGAAAACGAAGUGGGAAGGCAUAGACAGCCAGGAUGUUGGCUUAGAAGCAGCCAUCAUUUAAAGAAAGCGUAAUAGCUCACUGGUCGAGUCGUCCUGCGCGGAAGAUGUAACGGGGCUAAGCACGUAACCGAAGCUUCGGAUGCUGCAUUCUUCGGAAUGUAUGCAUGGUAGGAGAGCGUUCUGUAGGCCUGCGAAGGUGUGCUGUGAGGCAUGCUGGAGGUAUCAGAAGUGCGAAUGCUGACAUGAGUAGCGAUAAAGGGUGUGAAAAGCACCCUCGCCGAAAGCCCAAGGUUUCCUGCGCAACGUUCAUCGGCGCAGGGUGAGUCGGCCCCUAAGGUGAGGCAGAGAUGCGUAGCUGAUGGGAAACAGGUUAAUAUUCCUGUACUUAUAUUGAAUGCGAUGUGGGGACGGAGAAGGUUAGGUCAGCCAACUGUUGGAAUAGUUGGUUCAAGCGUGUAGGGAGAUCUCUUAGGCAAAUCCGGGAGGUCAAUUCUGAGGCGUGAUAACGAGGUACUUAGGUACUGAAGUGAUUGAUACCAUGCUUCCAAGAAAAGCCACUAAGCUCCAGUUCAAUAAAACCGUACCGCAAACCGACACAGGUGGGCAGGAUGAGAAUUCUAAGGCGCUUGAGAGAACCCGGGAGAAGGAACUCGGCAAAUUAGCACCGUAACUUCGGGAGAAGGUGCGCCCCGGUAGUGUGUAGAGACUUGCUCUUGAAGCACGAUGGGGUUGCAGUGAAAAGGUGGCUGCGACUGUUUAAUAAAAACACAGCACUCUGCAAACACGAAAGUGGACGUAUAGGGUGUGACGCCUGCCCGGUGCUGGAAGAUUAAAUGAUGGGGUGCAAGCUCUUGAUUGAAGUCCCAGUAAACGGCGGCCGUAACUAUAACGGUCCUAAGGUAGCGAAAUUCCUUGUCGGGUAAGUUCCGACCCGCACGAAUGGCGUAACGAUGGCCACACUGUCUCCUCUCGGGACUCAGCGAAGUUGAAAUGUUUGUGAAGAUGCAAUCUACCCGCGGCUAGACGGAAAGACCCCAUGAACCUUUACUGUAGCUUUACAUUGGACUUUGACAAGAUUUGUGUAGGAUAGGUGGGAGACUAUGAAGCGGCGUCGCUAGAUGUCGUGGAGUCAACCUUGAAAUACCACCCUGAUGUUGUUGAGGUUCUAACCUAGGUCCAUUAUCUGGACUGGGGACCGUGUAUGGUGGGCAGUUUGACUGGGGCGGUCUCCUCCCAAAGAGUAACGGAGGAGUGCGAAGGUAACCUAGGUACGGUCGGAAAUCGUACUGAUAGUGCAAUGGCAUAAGGUUGCUUGACUGCGAGACGGACAGGUCGAGCAGGUGCGAAAGCAGGUCAUAGUGAUCCGGUGGUUCUGUAUGGAAGGGC
rnacentral:rRNA from 1 species